AUUGAACGCUGGCGGCAGGCCUAACACAUGCAAGUCGAGCGAGCGGCGGACGGGUGAGUAAUGUCUGGGACACUGCCUGCUGGAGGGGGAUAACUACUGGAAACGGUCGCUAAUACCGCAUACCCUCAGAUGUGCCCAGAUGGGAUUAGCUAGGAGGUGGGGUAAUGGCUCACCUAGGCGACGAUCCCUAGCUGGUCUGCGAGGAUGACCAGCCACACUGGAACUGAGACACGGUCCAGACGCCUACGGGAGGCAGCAGUGGGGAAUAUUGCACAAUGGGCGCAAGCCUGAUGCAGCCAUGCCGCGUGUAUGAAGAAGGCCUUCGGGUUGUAAAGUACUUUCAGCGGGGAGGCGUUACCCGCAGAAGAAGCACCGGCUAACUCCGUGCCAGCAGCCGCGGUAAUAC
rnacentral:rRNA from 1 species